rnacentral:rRNA from 1 species
UACCAGACUCCUACGGGAGGCAGCAGUGGGGGAUAUUGCACAAUGGGGGGAACCCUGAUGCAGCGACGCCGCGUGGGUGAAGAAGCGCCUCGGCGCGUAAAGCCCUGUCAGCAGGGAAGAAAAUGACGGUACCUGAAGAAGAAGCCCCGGCUAACUACGUGCCAGCAGCCGCGGUAAUACGUAUGGUGCAAGCGUUAUCCGGAUUUACUGGGUGUAAAGGGAGCGCAGGCGGUACGGCAAGUCUGAUGUGAAAGCCCGGGGCGCAACCCCGGUACUGCAUUGGAAACUGUCGGACUAGAGUGUCGGAGGGGUAAGUGGAAUUCCUAGUGUAGCGGUGAAAUGCGUAGAUAUCAGGAGGAACACCGGUGGCGAAGGCGGCCUGCUGGACUGCGACUGACGUUGAGGCCCGAAAGCGUGGGGAGCAAACAGGAUUAGAUACCCGCGUAGA